AUUUAGUGAUGGGGGCAACUCACGCAUAAUCUCUUGAAUCUCUCACAAUAUUCAUAUAAACUCUCCCUAGAUUUUUGCUUGAUGCUUGAAAUAUCUUUCCUUAUGGC